UACCUGGACAAGAGGCUCAAGCUAUCUCCUGAGUGGGGGCCCACUGAGGCCCCUGAGUUCCCUGGCGAGGCUGUGUCUGAGGAUGAGUAUAGAACGAGGCUGAGCUCUGUCAUCCAGGAGUUGCUGAGUUCAGAGCAGGCUUUUGUGGGUGAGUUACAGUUCUUGGAGAGCCACCACAUCAAGCACCUGGACCGAUCUCCCCGUGUACCCGCAGCUGUGGCCAGCCAGAAGACGGUCAUCUUUCGUAAUGUGCAGGACAUCAGCCAUUUCCACAGCAGCUCUUCAGGGCCACCUCUGUGGUGGACACGGCUGUAGGGUGGGGGGAAAUCCCUGGCCAUUGCCCUGAUGAGAACAAUAAAUCAAGUCCCAUACCCUC
rnacentral:lncRNA from 1 species